rnacentral:rRNA from 1 species
GUCCAUGCCGUAAACGAUGUCUACUAGCCGUUGGGGCCUUUGAGGCUUUAGUGGCGCAGCUAACGCGAUAAGUAGACCGCCUGGGGAGUACGGUCGCAAGACUAAAACUCAAAUGAAUUGACGGGGGCCCGCACAAGCGGUGGAGCAUGUGGUUUAAUUCGAUGCAACGCGAAGAACCUUACCUGGUCUUGACAUAGUAAGAACUUUCCAGAGAUGGAUUGGUGCCUUCGGGAGCUUACAUACAGGUGCUGCAUGGCUGUCGU